rnacentral:rRNA from 1 species
AUUAAAUUGAAGAGUUUGAUCAUGGCUCAGAUUGAACGCUGGCGGUAGGUUUUAUCCAUGCAAGUCGAGCGGUAACAGACAUUUUGAUUCAGCUUGCUGAAUCUAGUGCUGACGAGCGGCGAACUGGUGAGUAACGCGUAGGAAUCUGCCCAGUAGCGGGGGAUAGCCCGAGGAAACUCGGAUUAAUACCGCAUACGCCCUAAGGGGGAAAGGGGGCAUCUUUGAUGCUCUUACUAUUGGAGGAGCCUGCGUAAGAUUAGCUUGUUGGUAGGGUAAAGGCCUACCAAGGCGACGAUCUUUAGCUGGUCUGAGAGGACGAUCAGCCACAUUGGGACUGAGACACGGCCCAGACGUCUACGGACGGCAGCAGGAGAGAAUAUUGGACAAUGAGGGAAACCUUGAUCCAGCCAUACCGCGUGUGUGAAGAAGGCCUUAGGGUUGUAAAGCACUUUAAGCGAUGAAGAAGAAAAGUAAGUUAAUACCUUAUUUUUUUGACGUUACUCGCAGAAUAAGUACCGGCUAACUCCGUGCCAGCAGCCGCGGUAAUACGGAGGGUACAAGCGUUAAUCGGAAUUACUGGGCGUAAAGCGCGCGUAGGCGGUUAAGUAAGUUGGAUGUGAAAGCCCUGGGCUCAACCUAGGAACUGCAUUCAAAACUAUUUAACUAGAGUACGAGAGAGGAGAGUAGAAUUUCUGGUGUAGCGGUGAAAUGCGUAGAUAUCAGAAGGAAUACCAAUGGCGAAGGCAGCUCUCUGGAUCGUCACUGACGCUAAGGUGCGAAAGCGUGGGUAGCAAACAGGAUUAGAUACCCUGGUAGUCCACGCCGUAAACGAUGACAACUAGCCGUUGGGAGGAUUUACCUCUUAGUGGC